CAGUUAGAUCAAUCAUGACCAUGAUGAUUGUCCAAAAGAUGAAAGCUGUAACAUUGGAGUAGCAGAGGCAGACUUUACCAUUAGGCAAGCAGUUCCUUCUGCUCUGUCUCCAGCUCCUCGUCUCGUCUUGUCAGCCCUGCUUCCCUGCCCUGGAUCCCCGCUCUUCCCAGCUUCCACCCCAAUCCUCAGCUCCUUGUUCCCAGCUUCCAGCUCAAGUCCCAGCCCCAGUUUCCCAACUAGUUGCUCAGGCCCCAGCCCCAGUUACCAGUUACCAGCCCAAGCUUCCCCAGGCCUACAUUCCCUUUCUCCAGCCUUUACAAUAACUACCUUAUUUCUAUCAUA